rnacentral:sRNA from 1 species
UUCUGUAGUCAUCUAGUAUUCUGAGGCAGUUUGAGAAGGAGUUGACGAACUCGGACUUCUCCCCUGCAACCCUGGGAGACGUCCCAGGGAU